rnacentral:rRNA from 1 species
AUGAAAGAGCGACUUCUCUGCUUAGAGUAUAUUCAGGGGGGAAGCCUCGAUAAACAUAUUGAAGUGGCAGAUGAAUCUUGCAUACUCGAUUGGCCCACAUGUUAUAAAAUCAUUCGAGGGAUUUGUGAGGGCUUAAAUCACCUUCACAGUGCACAGGAAAAAUUAAUUUUCCAUCUGGACUUAAAUCCUUCUAAUAUAUUGCUGGAUAAGGACAUGACACCCAAAAUUUCUGGGUUUGGUUUGUCAAUUGCCUCGACAAAAGAGGAGUAUCAAACAGAGAUGAGAAGAGGAACAUUCGGGUACAUGCCACCGGAAUACAUAGACAGUCAAAUUUUAUCGAACAAGUUUGAUGUGUUCAGUUUGGGUGUCAUAAUUAUAAAAAUGAUGGCCGGAGAUAAGACCUACUUCAAGUGUUAUGAAAUGUCUCCCAGACACUUUAUCGAGCUGGUAAGUGAAAACGGGAAGAGAAUGUUGCAGACAACACCAAGGUACAGACAUCUUCGGAGUGCGUACAUGUCUUGA